ACUGCAUCAACCAUACUGGGAAUACUCUCCUGGUAUUGCUGCAGUCCCCUCCUCCACCCACAGUGAAUUCCAUCUAAAAGAAAGCAGGCUUACAUUGGUGCUGUGCCUACAACUGGUGUGAAAUGGAGGAAAACAACCCAGGAACACUCUUGUCUUAGACUUUUGUUAUAUAGGAGGUUGGAAAUUUUCAACCCCUCAUCUUUGACCAUUUUAUCUAGAGUUUCCAUCCUCUUUCUGCAGGAAGCGUUUUUUGAAAAAUGCCUCUUUUUAUAAUGGAAAGGUCAAAAACCUGAAAAAAACCUGUGACUGCCAAAAACUAUAGAACUGUGAGUCAUCAGUGACUUUCUAAAAUAGCCACACACAUAGAAAACUCCUGCACAUGCAUUCCAGAGAGUUUUAAAGUUCAAAGUUUUUGAAGACCUGAGCCUUGGACUGUGUGCCUUCAGAGACAUAGCAAAAAAACCAAUGCAAGAGUAGAGGAGGUAGAUACCAGCAGAGGGGGCUAGUGGCUCUCCCAAAAGGAAAUUCGGAGAUCAGAGGGCUUCCAACAGCAACAAAGGAUCACUCAACCCUGCUCAAAUCAUUCUUGAACUGAGUCAUGUAUUUCUGAUCCAGUAGAAGCUGGAAGAAGAUUCCUAAAAUGAUGGGACAUUUCAUCAUGUGGAAGUCAACAGUCCUGCAAUGGCAUCAAACAUCCUUCUUAUAGAUCACCACAGAACUGGAGAAGACUUGGGAAGUCUAUGUUCCACCUCAAGCCACUUUCACAGUAUUGCAUUGUUUGCUAAAGCUUAGGUCAGAGUCCCACAUGGGAACACUUCACAGGCAUUAAAUAAUUAGUGCAAGAGAGAAUAUAAAUUAUAUUCUCAGCAGGCAUGAAAACAAACCUUCUGGACUGGUCUGAUCAAAAGUGAUAGACUUGCUUAAUAUAAAGCCCAUGAGGCAUGGCCAUUCAAUUUUUACCUAGACCCACUUCUACUCCACUGAAAGCAGAAUGAUGGGUCCUGCACUUGCUGGAAAUCAUGGUGGUAUGCUUCAGUUUCUCUUCUAAGGUUCAGCUCACCGUCACAGGAAACUGGAAAGAUGGUAUGAAAUACAAGCUGCCCUGCUGGGAUGUGGGAGGUUUCAAGGCAAAAUGUACUCAUGGUCCAGAUCUAGUCUAGAAUUUGCCAUUUGAGUAAUUCUGCUAUGAAACAUCUAAUUAAACAGCUGAGUGUAGAGGAUGGCAGGAACAGGGAGACACUCGCAGACAUGUGUAGGAACCUAGAAGUUCCUGUAAGAAAUUUGGGCUGGAGAGCAAAGACUUCAGCCUUGAAGGACUCCAGAUAACAUACAGGAGGAUACGCUGCAGAAGCCUCAUUACCCUUGAUUGGUGCUGUGGAAGAAAGAUUGCAAACACACUUUCAACCAUUCCCACCAUCAUUCUGGACAGACAUAAACAAAGAGACACAGAAUACCAUGUUCUGAAUAGCCCUGCCUCGGAGCAACUUCUGCAGACAGAUCACUGCCAGUUCUGUUUCCUCUUCCUCCUGCCAAAACACAACAAAUAUCCACACAAUAAUCAAUUAUUUCUUUGGAGACUGAGAUUUGUAUAGAUUAUCCAUCUAACUAUUAAAAAGUCUAACUCACAUCCAGCUUUUUCUCAGUUGUUUCUGAAUACCAUUCUUCUAAUUUCUAGGG